UGCAGUCGCACGAGAAGGGACUUCGGUCUUGAGUAAAGUGGCGCACGGGUGAGUAACACGUGACUAAUCUACCCUCGAGUGGGGAAUAACCUAGAGAAAUCUGGGCUAAUACCGCAUAACACUUACGAGUCAAAGCAGCAAUGCGCUUGGGGAGGAGGUCGCGGCCGAUUAGCUAGUUGGCGGGGUAAUGGCCCACCAAGGCGAUGAUCGGUAUCCGGCCUGAGAGGGCGCACGGACACACUGGAACUGAAACACGGUCCAGACUCCUACGGGAGGCAGCAGUGGGGAAUUUUGCGCAAUGGGGGAAACCCUGACGCAGCAACGCCGCGUGGAGGAUGAAGUAUCUUGGUACGUAAACUCCUUUCGAUUGGGAAGAUAAUGACGGUACCAAUAGAAGAAGCCCCGGCUAACUUCGUGCCAGCAGCCGCGGUAAUACGAGGGGGGCAAGCGUUGUUCGGAUUUAUUGGGCGUAAAGGGUGCGUAGGCGGUUUGGCAAGUCUUGUGUGAAAUCUUCGGGCUCAUCCCGAAGCCUGCACAAGAAACUGCCGGGCUUGAGUAUGGGAGAGGUGAGUGGAA
rnacentral:rRNA from 1 species